AACGAACGCUGGCGGCAUGCCUAACACAUGCAAGUCGAACGAGACCUUCGGGUCUAGUGGCGCACGGGUGCGUAACGCGUGGGAACCUGCCCUUAGGUUCGGAAUAACUCCCCGAAAGGGGUGCUAAUACCGGAUAAUGUCUUCGGACCAAAGAUUUAUCGCCUUUGGAUGGGCCCGCGUUGGAUUAGCUAGUUGGUAGGGUAAAAGCCUACCAAGGCGACGAUCCCUACCUGGUCUGAGAGGAUGAUCAGCCACACUGGGACUGAGACACGGCCCAGACUCCUACGGGAGGCAGCAGUGGGGAAUAUUGGACAAUGGGCGAAAGCCUGAUCCAGCACUGCCGCGUGAGUGAUGAAGGCCUUAGGGUUGUAAAGCUCUUUUACCCGGGAUGAUAAUGACAGUACCGGGAGAAUAAGCUCCGGCUAACUCCGUG
rnacentral:rRNA from 1 species